rnacentral:rRNA from 1 species
UACGUAGGGGGCAAGCGUUGUCCGGAAUCAUUGGGCGUAAAGCGCGCGUAGGCGGCCCGGUAAGUCCGCUGUGAAAGUCCAGGGCUCAACCCUGGAAAGCCGGUGGAUACUGCCGGGCUAGAGUCCGGAAGAGGCGAGUGGAAUUCCUGGUGUAGCGGUGGAAUGCGCAGAUAUCAGGAAGAACACCCGUGGCUAAGGCGGCUCUCUAGUACGGUACUGACGCUGAGACGCGAAAGCGUGGGGAGCAAACAGG